UGUGUGUGUGUGUGUGUGUGUGUGUGCGUGCGUGUGCGUGCAUGCAUGCACACACUCACACACACU